rnacentral:rRNA from 1 species
UGUAAGGGCCAUACCACCCUGAACAUGCCCGAUCUUGUAAGUUAAGCAGAGUCGGGCCUGGCUAGUACUUGGAUGAGAGAACGUGCCCAGGACAGUGCCAACAA